AGUGAACGCUGGCGGUAGGCCUAACACAUGCAAGUCGAACGGCAGCACAGUAAGAGCUUGCUCUUACGGGUGGCGAGUGGCGGACGGGUGAGGAAUACAUCGGAAUCUACUUUUUCGUGGGGGAUAACGUAGGGAAACUUACGCUACUACCGCAUACGACCUACGGGUGAAAGCAGGGGAUCUUCGGACCUUUCGCGAUUCAAUUAGCCGAUGUCGGAUUAGCUAGUUGGCGGGGUAAAGGCCCACCAAGGCGACGAUCCGUAGCUGGUCUGAGAGGAUGAUCAGCCACACUGGAACUGAGACACGGUCCAGACUCCUACGGGAGGCAGCAGUGGGGAAUAUUGGACAAUGGGCGCAAGCCUGAUCCAGCCAUACCGCGUGGGUGAAGAAGGUCUUCGGGUUGUAAAGCCCUUUUGUUGGGAAAGAAAAGCAGCAGGUUAAUCCCCCGCUGUUCUGACGGUACCCAAAGAAUAAGCACCGGCUAACUUCGUG
rnacentral:rRNA from 1 species